rnacentral:rRNA from 1 species
UACGGAGGAUGCAAGCGUUGUCCGGAAUUAUUGGGCGUAAAGGGCUCGUAGGCGGUUUGUCGCGUCGGGAGUGAAAUCCACUGGCUUAACUGGUGGCUUGCUUUCGAUACGGGCAGACUGGAGGUAUGCAGGGGAGAACGGAAUUCCUGGUGUAGCGGUGGAAUGCGCAGAUAUCAGGAGGAACACCAAUAGCGAAGGCAGCUCGCUGGGACGGUAUUGACGCUGAGGCGCGAAAGCGUGGGGAGCAAACAGG